GAUGAACGCUGGCGGCGUGCCUAAUACGUGCAAGUCGAGCGAACAGACGAGGAGCUUGCUCCUCUGACGUUAGCGGCGGACGGGUGAGUAACACGUGGAUAACCUACCUAUAAGACUGGGAUAACUUCGGGAAACCGGAGCUAAUACCGGAUAAUAUAUUGAACCGCAUGGUUCAAUAGUGAAAGACGGUUUUGCUGUCACUUAUAGAUGGAUCCGCGCCGCAUUAGCUAGUUGGUAAGGUAACGGCUUACCAAGGCAACGAUGCGUAGCCGACCUGAGAGGGUGAUCGGCCACACUGGAACUGAGACACGGUCCAGACUCCUACGGGAGGCAGCAGUAGGGAAUCUUCCGCAAUGGGCGAAAGCCUGACGGAGCAACGCCGCGUGAGUGAUGAAGGUCUUCGGAUCGUAAAACUCUGUUAUUAGGGAAGAACAAAUGUGUAAGUAACUAUGCACGUCUUGACGGUACCUAAUCAGAAAGCCACGGCUAACUACGUGC
rnacentral:rRNA from 1 species